rnacentral:rRNA from 1 species
AAUCAACGCUGGCGGCGUGCCUCAGACAUGCAAGUCGAACGAUUAAAGCUCUCUUCGGAGAGUGUAUAGAGUGGCGCACGGGUGAGUAACACGUAAGUAAUCUACCUUUGAGUGGGGAAUAACCCGGGGAAACCCGAGCUAAUACCGCAUAAUGCAGCGGCACCGCAAGGUGACAGUUGUUAAAGGAGCAAUCCGCUUAAAGAGGAGCUUGCGGCAGAUUAGCUAGNGGUAAGGUAAUGGCUUACCAAGGCUUCGAUCUGUAUCCGGCCUGAGAGGGCGGUCGGACACACUGACACUGAAUAACGGGUCAGACUCCUACGGGAGGCAGCAGUCGGGAAUUUGGGCAAUGGGCGAAAGCCUGACCCAGCAAACGCCGCGUGAAGGAUGAAGUAUUUCGGUAUGUAAACUUCGAAAGAAUGGGAAGAAUCAAUGACGGUACCAUUUAUAAGGUCCGGCUAACUACGUGCCAGCCGCCGCCGUAAC